AUGGAUCCUGGUCAGGUUCGUUACCACGGAGCCACGACGGGGAGUCCCCUGACCCAUUCUGUACCAGGCAGAGCGGACGCUAAAACAACCUGUAAGAAUGUGAAAAGGUUGUGUGACUGGACGUCCCUCUUGCUUGCUUUAUUUGGAAGCAUAAGCAGAGUGGCAUCCCGUCGUGCCCCAGCCUGGGCUGUGCCCGCAGCGCCCGGAAGCUCAAAAUGGAGGCCAGAAGCCAAGUCCACCAGUCACCCCGACUGCAAAUGGGCUGGGGCGCCAUCCCUGGCAUCCUGGGGUCCUUCCGCUGCAGCUCAGCCUUCACGUUCACAGCCAGGACCUCCGGGCAAGGGCUGGAGGUGGAGACAGGGCGGCGCCUGGGCUCGCUUUUCACACCAGAAGUUACAUAACAGAGCAAAACUUGGACUGGCCCGUGUCCCGGGAGACCUCCAGCUUGUUUCUGUCCCGGACAAGGAUGGCCUCGUUCCCGUACUGAGAGUACCACAUGCUUCGGCUCCGGCUCAGGGAAACGUAAGAGGAGCCUCGGAGCAUGUUCUGAAGAGACACCCAAGAACCACACGAGAGAUGACAGCAAGCAGAUCAGCAGUGUCCUGGCCACAGUUUCCUGGGGACAGUCAGGUAUGCCCUUUAUUAGGACAAUGCACCCUCCUGGGGGGGGGGGGUCUUGUCAGGUGUCCACUGCAAUUCUGAUACCACCCCUUGGACCGCUUAACUUGAAAAGAUGGAUCUGAAGGGAUGCUGUCCAGCGAGGCGGAAGUCGACAGCAGCUGCUCCAAGUGGCCUCUGCUGCUCUGUGCUUGGGCCGGCUUUCAGCACAGCACAGGCGCUCUGAUUCUUGCCAGGAAUCUGGAACCAGCAUGUGUUCUGUGCUUUUUUUUUUUCCCUCUCCCCUGGCUGGUCUUCAGCUCUUCCCAAGGGGUUGCUACAAAGAAAUGAACACGCUGUCAUGUUGGGGAGGAAAGGGCCAUGGUGGCAACAGCAGGUUCUCAACGCUCUGGGGAUAAGAGCGUUAAGCCCAGCUACCAACACAUUUCACCACUUCAAGGGCGCCCUGGUGAGGCAGACCCUGGGACUGGGUUUAAGGGGUAGGUGCUUCAAUCCCAGAUCUUUUAUUGGCUAAGAACUGGGGGAUCUGGGGGAAAGGCUUGUUGGGGUGUUAGCAUCUGGAUCCGACAGGGCACGGGUCGCGGGGCUCAGAACUGACCUGCCCAUGAUAGGGGUACACCAGCGCCUUCUGCCGCAAGCAUCCGGGAGGCCGCUGGACCAGAAAGAAAAAUGACGUCAGGCAAAACCCAAACAGCGCAGCAUCCACAGCUGCCCCCCGCCCCAUGCUUUCGCAGCCAAGCAAGCUCACUUCUCCUUGCGUGUGGCCUGUGCCCCGUCGCCCAGCCCCGUUCCCACUACCCGCGGCCGCUGAACCCCCGGUGGACCGGCCCACGCCCAGGAUGCCCCCACAGCACGCCCCCACUGCCUCCCCAGCAUCCCGCCCUCCCCCAACGCCGCCCCCGUCACCUAACCCGCGCCCCCCCGCCCCCGUCGUCGCCGCCCGGGCCACCCGCGCGGUGCGGCCUCAGGGAUGCGCUGGCCGCCCGACGGGGCGGUGCCAGCUGGCCGCGGGUCCGCGUCUCCAUGGCAGCGCCGCAGGCAUGCCGAGCCGAGCGCCGAGGCCGGGCAGGCCGGCGCCACGAGCCGGAGCGAUCGACCGCUCCGCGGGG
rnacentral:lncRNA from 9 species